rnacentral:rRNA from 1 species
AGGGGAGCCGGAGGGAAACCGAGUCUUAACCGGGCGUUAAGUUGCAGGGUAUAGACCCGAAACCCGGUGAUCUAGCCAUGGGCAGGUUGAAGGUUGGGUAACACUAACUGGAGGACCGAACCGACUAAUGUUGAAAAAUUAGCGGAUGACCUGUGGCUGGGGGUGAAAGGCCAAUCAAACCGGGAGAUAGCUGGUUCUCCCCGAAAGCUAUUUAGGUAGCGCCUCGUGAAUUCAUCUCCGGGGGUAGAGCACUGUUUCGGCUAGGGGGCCAUCCCGGCUUACCAACCCGAUGCAAACUGCGAAUACCGGAGAAUGUUAUCACGGGAGACACACGGCGGGUGCUAACGUCCGUCGUGAAGAGGGAAACAACCCAGACCGCCAGCUAAGGUCCCAAAGUCAUGGUUAAGUGGGAAACGAUGUGGGAAGGCCCAGACAGCCAGGAUGUUGGCUUAGAAGCAGCCAUCAUUUAAAGAAAGCGUAAUAGCUCACUGGUCGAGUCGGCCUGCGCGGAAGAUGUAACGGGGCUAAACCAUGCACCGAAGCUGCGGCAGCGACGCUUAUGCGUUGUUGGGUAGGGGAGCGUUCUGUAAGCCUGUGAAGGUGUGUCGUGAGGC